CUUCGACUAAGGUUCGAUUCGAGCGAAAGCGAGAAAGCGUUGCCAACGGCAACGACCCGAAGGGCGAAGCGCGCAGCGCUGAGUAAUCCUUCCCCCACCACCA
rnacentral:sRNA from 2 species